rnacentral:rRNA from 1 species
CCUACGGGUGGCAGCAGUGAGGAAUAUUGGUCAAUGGACGAGAGUCUGAACCAGCCAAGUAGCGUGAAGGAUGACUGCCCUAUGGGUUGUAAACUUCUUUUAUAUGGGAAUAAAACGUUCCACGUGUGGGAUUUUGUAUGUACCAUAUGAAUAAGGAUCGGCUAACUCCGUGCCAGCAGCCGCGGUAAUACGGAGGAUCCGAGCGUUACCCGGAUUUAUUGGGUUUAAAGGGAGCGUAGGUGGAUUGUUAAGUCAGUUGUGAAAGUUUGCGGCUCAACCGUAAAAUUGCAGUUGAAACUGGCAGUCUUGAGUACAGUAGAGGUGGGCGGAAUUCGUGGUGUAGCGGUGAAAUGCUUAGAUAUCACGAAGAACUCCGAUUGCGAAGGCAGUUCACUGGACUGCAACUGACACUGAGGCUCGAAAGUGUGGGUAUCAAACAGGAUUAGAUACCCCUGUAGUC